AAGACAACUGCAGCAUAGCUGGGGCUGCGGUUUACUGAGGCUCUGUGUGCCAAGCACCGUGUGAAGUGCUUUUAUACCACGGGUCUCGUUUAAUCCUCCCUGCCCAUAAAAACGCACAGGCUUAAGGUCCUACGGCUCGUCAAGUUCACCAAUUGCUGGCGUGUGCUUUGGGAAUUGAGCUUAUCUCCAGAAGUUAGAGAUGUUCAGUUUCCUCAUCAUGCUCUUUGAAAAUUCCUCAGCUGUCCCGUGACGUUUCCGACCAAGCCCCCUUCCCCCUCUCUCUUUAGCUCCAUCCGACCUCCCUAAGCUAUGCCAGGCACAUCCCGACCGCUGAGGAGUGCUUCACUACUCGAGGCACGCUUUGUUCCAGAUUCUUCAGCGUUCUGCAGCACCAACUCUGAGAUCUGGGCGCUUCUGAGUAAAUGCUCAACGGCCCAGGAAGAGGUAGCCACGAGCAAUCGAAACCAGCAACACUUCCUCUUUUGUUCAGGUCCAGAAAGGUUGCAAUGAAAAUAAAAAGCAGAUGGGGAUUUAUAUUUAGACUGUCCCUAUUGUGCCUGAUUUUCCAACCUCCAGUUGAGCGUGUUGAAUUCUACCGAGAGCAGUGUUUGUCCUGGCAGGUUGCAAGGCACCCAUGAAGCUUGCCUACUGUCCCAGCCCUGUGCUCCUUCGAUUAGUGCUAACUAUCUCUCUGGGAGCACCAUGUACAUAAGAACCAGAAGAGAUUUUCUCCGUCCUGACAGAUGCCCACCAUUACUGCAUGCCGGAGCGCAAAAGGCAGCCUGAUAGAGACUUGACCUCUGGGCACAGAAGACGCGGACACAAAUGCCAGCUUGGAAAAGGGAUUAAUGAUUUAAACGGUCUGAGGGAAAGAAAAUGCUAUUAGUGCUAGUUUGGCUUACUAAGAAGGGUCCAUUAAUUCACAUACAGGAGUUCCAGGGGGAAAAAUGGUGCCCUAAUUAUGUCUUGGGUAAUUUGGCCAUUUAAAUGGCUAACCAAUUUGCAACUAGCUUCUUCCUCAAGGUAUUGCAUCUUUAUUCAGUGCCGUUCCCUCCCACCAGGAGCCAGGCUGCUCUUGCCACGACGUGUGCAGCAUUGUGGGGAUGGUAGCUCCGUCUUUGCCGAUCGCUCCCCGCCCUCCUCUUCAAUCAUGUGACCUUGUAGCUCUUCUGUGGGAUUGGAAAUGUGUCUAGCUGGAAUUAUCGCCUGUGUUAGCAGGAUUCUUGUAGCCUCCAGAAGGUACAAGGCCGAAUACCACGUUUGCAGCGCCUUCCGCGAAUAGCUGUGAUGGGUGGGCAUCUGACAAUUGACCCUCAAUUACAGAGAGAUUCAGAACCUGUGCAGGUCCCAUCCUUGCGAGAUGCCUGCUGGUGGGGGAGCCUGUCUACACAAACAGCCAGUGCAAUGCUGCCCAGGCAGCCUGCACCCACCUGUGCCCUCCACAAAUGGCCUCCCCAGACCGAUAAGCUGUGGGUCUGCCCCUGCCGUAGCAUCACCCUCAGCCCUGAAGGGGUGAUUCAAAGUGAGUCCAGGCUGCCCUUGCUGAUACUUUCCCCGGGACUCAAGAUGUGCAACCACUCUUUGGUGGAGAGAGAGCCUUUGGAUCAGCGGUUCUUCCUUUCUGCCUCUACCAGUCUCCAUCACCCGACGGGACAAAGACACCAAAAGUCUAGGGGGUGAGAAAAUGUGCUCUUCUUCCCAAGACAGAAGGAGAGGAACAAAGACUGUUUAUUCACCAGAUCGCUUUUAAUAUAAAUAAGAGAUAAGAGCUGUUAUAUAUUAUGCACCAGGCACUAUGCUAAACACCCUGAAUGUAUUAUUCCACUCAAUCCUUGCAAUAGAUGAUAGAAACGAGAGGCUCAGAGAGGUUUGGUGAUUUGUCUGAAAUCACACAGCCAGUAAGUAGCAGAAACUACAUUCCAAUCAGGUUUUUGGGAUCAAUUUUUCAUGGUCUUUUGGCGGUUCUGCACCGCCUGGGAACUGGUAUUGACGGCAAGCGCUGCAUGCCUAGGGCUUAAGGAAACCACCGUUAGUUCAGAAUACCAGUGGCUACUAAUUGAUUCCGUUUUUUAAGGAAGUGCCACACAUUCCUGCUCUUUAUCUACCCACGUCUCUGGGUCUUACACACUCUGUAUAUGGGUGAUUGAAGAAUCAGGUAGAGGAGACGGGAAAGAAAGAGUGGGUGAUGGGGAGUGGGCGGGCAGAGUUGCCACAGGCUGGAAGCCUCCCUUCUUCGGAACCAGUUCAGUGUUCUUUGGAGAAAAUGGCAGUGAAUUUGCUCCACUGGGACCGUGCCCUGCACACUUCCCCUGAUCCCUGCGCUCACCUUUUAUCCACCCCAUGUGUACAUUCCGAAAGCAAAGUUAUGUUCAGACGGGUCUUCUCUUGCACAGUCUUCUCCAGGGCUCUCCUGUGUUACUUGGCUUCUGCCACCACGGCCGCUGUCUGACUGGUUCUCAGCCUGUCUGGACCGUCCCGUCCCCUCUUCUGAUCUUCAGACCUGCUGCCCACACCCUGCACCUUCUGAGGGCCGAGCACUGUCCACACCGCAUGUUCCACCCUGCUCCUGAUUCUCUUGAGCUUUUUCAACAGGUGAAGGGAAUGACUUCUUAUCCGGGAUUCCUACCUUCUGUUUCUUUCCGCUUCACCCCAACCUGUACUAUUGCCAAAAUGUUCCCAAAGUAAAGCUGUGGUCCCAUGAACUCUGUCAGAAAUAGCUUGUGGCUCCUGGCAUUUUGGGCUUUCCAGACUGUGAUCCUGAGUCGCUUUUCCAGUCUCGUGCUGUGCUCUCACGUCUUGGCACCUAAACUAGAGGGAACAGCAGAGGCCAUAGCAGUAAUAACAGUAGUAGGAAAGCAAGAGCAACAAAGAGCAGUAAUAA